AUAUAAUGAUGAUUUUAUUACGGGCGGGCUGAAUUAUACGUACAAUGUAAUAGGAAUGAUGUAUUGUAAUAUUCUGACAUU
rnacentral:snoRNA from 1 species